rnacentral:rRNA from 1 species
AGCAGCCGCGGUAAUUCCAGCUCCAAUAGCGUAUAUUAAAGUUGUUGCAGUUAAAAAGCUCGUAGUUGAAUUUCGGGGUCAGUAGGUUGGUCAUGCCACUGGUAUGUACUGGUCUCACUGAUUCCUCCUUCCUGAUGAACUGUAAUGCCAUUAAUUUGGUGUUGCAGGGAAUCUGGACUGUUACUUUGAAAAAAUUAGAGUGUUUAAAGCAGGCUAACGCCUGAAUACAUUAGCAUGGAAUAAUGAAAUAGGACGUUCGAUCCUAUUUUGUUGGUUUCUAGGAUUGACGUAAUGAUUAAUAGGGAUAGUUGGGGGCAUUAGUAUUCAAUUGUCAGAGGUGAAAUUCUUGGAUUUAUUGAAGACUAACUACUGCGAAAGCAUUUGCCAAGGAUGUUUUCAUUAAUCAAGAACGAAAGUUAGGGGAUCGAAGACGAUCAGAUACCGUCGUAGUCUUAACCAUAAACUAUGCCGACUAGGGAUCGGAUGAUGUUAAUUUUUAAUGACUCAUUC